GAUGAACGCUGGCGGCGUGCCUAAUACAUGCAAGUCGAGCGAACAGACGAGGAGCUUGCUCCUCUGACGUUAGCGGCGGACGGGUGAGUAACACGUGGAUAACCUACCUAUAAGACUGGGAUAACUUCGGGAAACCGGAGCUAAUACCGGAUAAUAUAUUGAACCGCAUGGUUAAAUAUUGAAAGACGGUUUUGCUGUCACUUAUAGAUGGAUCCGCGCCGCAUUAGCUAGUUGGUAAGGUAACGGCUUACCAAGGCAACGAUGCGUAGCCGACCUGAGAGGGUGAACGGCCACACUGGAACUGAGACACGGUCCAGACUCCUACGGGAGGCAGCAGUAGGGAAUCUUCCGCAAUGGGCGAAAGCCUGACGGAGCAACGCCGCGUGAGUGAUGAAGGUCUUCGGAUCGUAAAACUCUGUUAUUAGGGAAGAACAAAUGUGUAAGUAACUAUGCACGUCUUGACGGUACCUAAUCAGAAAGCCACGGCUAACUACGUG
rnacentral:rRNA from 1 species